rnacentral:rRNA from 1 species
CAGUCGCCGCGGUAAAACGAAGGGUGCAAGCGUUAAUCGGAAUUACUGGGCGUAAAGCGUGCGUAGGCGGUGAGUUAAGUCUGCUGUGAAAUCCCCGGGCUCAACCUGGGAAUGGCAGUGGAUACUGGCUCGCUAGAGUGUGUCAGAGGAUGGUGGAAUUCCCGGUGUAGCGGUGAAAUGCGUAGAGAUCGGGAGGAACAUCAGUGGCGAAGGCGGCCAUCUGGGACAACACUGACGCUGAGGCACGAAAGCGUGGGGAGCAAACAGGAUUAGAUACCCCCGUAGUCCCUGUCUCUUAUAA